GUGCUCACUUCGGCAGCACAUAUACUAAAAUUGGAACAAUACAGAGAAGAUUAGCAGGGCCCCUGCAUGAGGAUGAUGCACAAAUUCGUGAAGCAUUCCAUAGUUUU
rnacentral:snRNA from 1 species